GUCGAAUCGACACACAAAA
rnacentral:snRNA from 1 species